rnacentral:rRNA from 1 species
CCUACGGGGGGCAGCAGCCGAGAAUAUUCGACAAUGGGCGAAAGCCUGAUCGAGCGAUACCGCGUGGUGGAUGAAGUGCUUCGGCACGUAAACACCUUUUAUGAGGGAGGAAGUUAUUGACGUUACCUCAUGAAUAAGGGGCUCCUAACUCUGUGCCAGCAGGAGCGGUAAUACAGAGGCCCCAAGCAUUACCCGGAAUCACUGGGCGUAAAGGGUGCGUAGGUGGUCGUAUUAGUCGUUCGUUAAAACCCGGGGCUUAACCCCGGAAUCGCGAGCGAAACGGUACAACUCGAGAGCGAGAGAGGUGAAUGGAACUCAUGGUGUAGGGGUGAAAUCCGUUGAUAUCAUGGGGAACACCGAAAGCGAAGGCAAUUCACUGGCUCGUUUCUGACACUCAAGCACGAAAGCGUGGGUAGCGAACUGGAUUAGAUACCCCUGUAGUC